GCCAUGGUAUCCUCAGAACCACAAAGAUCAUUAAAUGGGAAGUAGUGGAAGUUCAAAGCAAGCUGGACAGAGGCUGAGAGCUGCGGCUUCAUAAACCUUGUAAGAUAUGUUAAUUGAGACAAAAUGAAAGAGACAGGAGAAAAUGACCAUCCUAAGAACUCUGUGGCAGAGUAGUAAUUUGAAAUUGGCACCUUCUGGUUCUAGCCCAACAGUCUAAGCAUUAUCCCACACCGGCUCACUGAAGCAGGAAUGAAAUUAAGCCAACAUACAAAGCAAAUCUAUCUUUUUCUCCUUAAGAAUUUGAAAGGCUGGAAGAAAAACAAAAACAAAUUAUGAUACAUUUUUAUUUCAAAUAUCAAUAUUAUUCACCUUAUUACAAUAUUUUUUUAAUUACUUAAGAAAAAAAAUUGAAAUAAAUCUGUUUUUCUCAG